GCCAGGCGUGGUGGCACACGCCUGUAAUCCCAGUGGCUCUGGAGGCUGAGGCAGGAGGAUCAUGAGUUCAAAGCCAGCCUCAGCAAAAGUGAGGUGCUAAGCAAUUCAAUGAGACCCUGUCUCUA
rnacentral:sRNA from 1 species